rnacentral:lncRNA from 1 species
AUGAAAUUUCAACAGUGCGGCUUGAGGGAAACCAUGCGCCUGUCUGUCAUUUUAGGACUUAAUUUACAAGGAUAAAGGUGCCCUGAGGCCACUUCAUUAAAGUUGUCUGAUGAUUAAAGAUACUGCUGGUGGGCUAUCAGAAUGCAUGACCUGGGUCUGGGGACACAACCCUGCUCCAUUCUCCAUCUCCUACCCUGGCUUCUCCUUCCUAACCCUGGAACCUUCCAUUCUGCCCUCAGCUACCUACCGUUACAUUUGUUAGGACAGGCAUGUAUUUAAUGCCUGCUGUGUACAUCACAUCACAAGAGCCAGGAUUGUUUGUGUUCGGGAUUGGAUGAGGCAAGGUGAGGUUCACAAGAAUCAAGAGUGCAGUUGUGAGAUGGAGCCUCCAGAGAAACGUCUAAGCAUUAUCUAAAGGCCACAAGACAUGACACAGCAUGCAUGUUUGAAAAACUUCAAAGUUUCUGGGUAAGCAGAUUGUGGAGUUAAGCAGAGGACCCAGUUAGUUAGGGUUACUGUUGCUUUGAUGAAACACCAUGACUAAAAGCAACUUGGGGAGAAAAGGUUUUAUUUCACUCACAGUUCCAUUUGAUAGUUAAUCUUCAAAAGCAGUAAGGGUAGGAAUUCAAGGAGGGCAGGAACCUGGACACAAGAACGGCGCAGAAGCCAUGAAGGGGUGUUGCUUACUGGCUUGCUCCUCAUAGCUUGCUCAGUCUUCUUUUUUAUAGACUCCCAAACCACCUGCCCAGGGACGGCACCACCCACAGUGGGUCGGCUACCCCCAAUCACCAACUAAGAGAUGCCCUACCUGCUUGCCCAGAGCCUGGUCUAAUGGAGGUAUUUCCUCCAUUAAGGUUCUUGACUUUCACAUAACUCUAGUAGAUGACAUGUUGACCAAAAACUAGCCAGCACACGUGGGUAAGGGAGAAGUUUGGUUGUGAAGACAAAGGAUAUAAGAGCAGCAAGUGCCAGAUGAAAGGCAGUGCAUGCAACUUGAAUUUGAAGUUUUUUAUGGAAGAACUACAUGGUGAUGUCCAGGAAACAGCUAACACUGCAUGUGGUCCUCUGCAGAGUUCUGGGUACUGUAUGAGUUUGAGGCUAUCCAUGUGAGAUGGAGGAUUUAUAUAUCAUCCAAGUGAAAUGACUGUCUGGAAGAGCAGGCUCUUAAGGAAGAGAGUGCAGAGGGAGCUCUGAACCUGGCAUUCUGCACUUAAAACCAUGCAACACCUCCAGCCCCCAGGGGCCCUUCAGCCAAGUCAUUUGACUGUGUGCUUUCCCAAUUUGUGGCCACAAAGUCCAGCUGACUUGGAGCCUUUUACAGAGCGAGCGCAUGAUGAACUCCACUGAAACUCACUUGGAUCUAAGGUUUGCAUUCUGGAGUGAAACAAUUUUUGGGCAACCAAUACUAAACAUGAAUAAUAAACCAGGGCUUGGCCAGAGGGCAGAGGGACCCUCGUAGAAUUGCAGUUUCAGGUCAAGAGGGCCCCGCAUAAGCAAAGGACAUUUGGUGGGAAGUAAUCAUAUCUAAUGGGAACUGUGGAACCCAUGGGAGCCAGGAAGCUGUGGGGGCUGAAGAACACCCUGUCAGGGGGUAAUGGACAUAUCAGAACAGAGAUGAGAAGACGAUGACAGCCGCCACGUGGGCUCCCACCAUGAUCCAAGCAUGGAAGAGGACCCCGGGCACUCAGUGCUCCAAGCACUGAGACUCUCUCCUGUCAUGUUAAAACACUUCCUCUAGACUCUGCUUACAAAGGAAUGAAUGAGUGUGAGGUGGCCCUUUUGUAUUUGUCCCAAAAUAUUGGUUUGUUGUUGUUUUGGUUUGGUUUGGUUUGGUUUGGUUUGGUUUGGUUUUUUGCUAGUAUAUAAUGCUUUAAUCGUUUCCAUGUGGCAUUAUAAUGAGAAGACUGCCUGCAAGAACCCAAACUCCAAUUCUUUCUAAUACGCACAGUUCGAAUGUGUAUGUUAAAGAAUUGGAGUUUUUUUAGACCCUUUGUAAAAAAACAAUAGAAUUAUCCCUAGUUUUGAUUUUCAUUUCAUAAGCCAUACCAGCUUUCUGUAGGAAAACAUGCAUAUCAGGAGAUUUCUAUGUUGGCAGAAAGCAUAUAAACAGAGUUUGGGAAGAUUCUGUUGUCUGUCAAAGAUGAUGUCCAUGUUCCUCCUAACGUACUGUCUAUGUUCAGGGCUAAGGCAUGUUAAACUGGGCCCAGAAAUAGAGUCCGGAUAAUCAAAGUGAAGGACAAGCAAGGGAAGCGUAGGGUUUGUUUGGUCUUAAUUACUCUUGUCUGGCUGUUGAGUCUCUCAGAAUAUUAAUGGAGCACCUCACAGAUCACCCUGUCCAAACGCCCUCUAUGAACAGACUAGAGGAGGGGGAGGAAUUCUAUCCACAGUGCUUCGUAUACUAAUGUAUACUUGGGGUCCUGACAGAAACAUGAAGACAAGGUCAAUGAGCCAUUUCCAGAUAGAUCUGUUUACUGAAGCAGGAUUGACAGAGGUGCAGGGCUUGAGUCUUGAGCCAGUCAGACUGUUACCAAUCCCGGACUCUAAAGGAACAGACACGGGGAGGGUAUGUAAAUGGAAUGAUCAUGCUAUCUGAGGUAGACUUUGGCACUGUGAGACAACUUGGAGUUGAGGGCCUGAUCUCUGUUCUCCCUCUCUCUCAACUCCUGCCAAGACUUGUGGCCAAACUCAGUAAGGACCUGGAGGCACAUGGCAGACUGAUAGGGCUGCCUCCAAGGCAGAGAUCAUCUGGACAAAAGGGAGAUUCCCCCAGCCUGACAUUCACCAGGGCCUUUCAAACAUCUGUAGCCAACUAGUGUGAAGCCACUGGCAGUGGCAGUGUUGAUGCGAUCCAGGUGAAAGUGCUCAGAAAUACAAGAAGCCUAAGUAGAACAUUAAGUGGGAACAGUUGACUCUGGUGGAUUUUGAGUCAGCACUGGCCUUGGCUGGAUUUUAUCUUCUAGUGGUAUUGAACUGGUUAAAAAAAAAUGUAACUGGAGAUCAAAGCCCUUUAAACAGAUACAUUGACUUCUGUAAACAUCCUUGAACUGCCCCCUCCUUGGCCUCCCCCCUCCUGUUGCCAGAUCGGUCCAGCACCUCUAGAGGCUGUUAAUACAUGUAAUGAUUGUAACAAAUACGGUAUUUGCUUUGAUUCCAGCUGGCUCUAGCCAGACUCUGUCCAUAGUUCCUAUUGUUAUCUUUGCUUACUAGACAACUGUAUUGUUACCAUUGGUAGCAACCUUUGUCACAGAUUCUUCAGCCCUGGUUCUUACACAUUGCGCUCGGUGCUUCCCCUAACAGUGUUUGCAGAUUGAGACUUUAGAAGACUUUCAUAUUAGUAAUUAAUAACAUUCUGCUUUGCACACGCUUAAACUGGUUGUGCAUUGAACAGUUUUCCAUCAGAAAUUUCCACAGAAGUAUAAUUUCGAAGGAAAACAAACUUAUAUUUUGUUGC